CAGUCAUGAAUUGAAGAACUCUACUGACAUAGGAACAACGAAACUGAAGCUUCUGUUCAUCUUCUUCUGCGGUUGAAGAUGGGAGCUGUUAGAAGCUUCAAAUAUCUCGGAUUUGAUAAUUAUCUGCCGUUUAUUGCCAAGCCCCCUAAAAUUUCUCUUCCAUUUUCUCAAUUAUUCAGACCUAAUUUUGGUGUCAAAUAUGGAAAUUUUACAAUUUCCAGAUCGUCUUCGGACGCCGUUCGUAGUGUUAGGAGGUCUAGGGUUUCUCACCGAGGAAUUAAGGGGGCGGAGCAUUGUUUUAGUGCGCCGAGAUGGUAGAUGGUAAUGGAGAAUUCAAAGAAAUUGAGCAGUCCCCUUCAAUGGAUUGCCAGCAGGAAGGUGUUAUUGACUUGAAGCUCCCAAGAAGACGUUUGGUAGUAAGUUUUACAUGUGAUGGCUGUGGUGUGCGGUCACAGAGGUUAAUCAAUAGACUAGCUUAUGAACGUGGGCUUGUUUAUGUGCAGGUAAUUUAUGGAUGUAGUAUCUCUCUCUAAAGCAUGACUAGUGCUUGUAUCCCUAGUCAAUUUGAAUUUAAUUAGUUAGCACUGGUCUUCCCCGUGGUCAUUUCAGCUAAGGCCUGUAUCUUCAACUAGUUCACAACACAGUACAAAACCUAUACCUUUUUGAGCUAGCAAAAUAAGAAUAAUAUUUCAAGUAGAUUAGUAAACUUUCAACAACUUAUGAUGCUAUAAAAUUUAUUGAAACUGUUUAUUGUUGGUUAAGGACUUCUCUGCUCGAAGAAACGAUUAGGUGAAUUAGAAUGAAAACAAGGGAUGCCCAUCUUAUACAACUAUAUAAUAAUCUAAUGAAUCGACAGGAAGAUAUUCAAUAUUAAUUCAAUCCAGCAAGCUGCAGUACUCAAGAAUUGGUCUAACACAAAUCAAAUAAACAUUUUCUCGACUGUGUCAGUGUUCAGGAUGUUCUCAGUACCACAAGCUUGUCGACAACCUUGGACUUGUUAUCGAGUACAACCGGCAGGAGGAAAUUGAUUUAGAUGCAACAAGUCUGGAAAGCUUUUGAUUUGUAGGCAUUUCAAUUUUCGAGG